GCUAGCACCACUAUGUACUAGAUAAUAAUUUUUUACUGUUUUAUUUAUAAUUUUAGUUUCCUAAUUUCUGCCUCCAUCUAGUCAUUUUAAUUGUGGUGGAAAUAAGAAACACUCAAACUUAGCGAUAAGAGAGAUACAUCAAUUAAAUUAUGAAGAUGACAUAAAGAAAAAAGUCGACGACAUAAAUUCGAAAAGUAUAAAAAUCAAAAAAGCACUUGAUGAGUUAAAAGUUCCAAAUUAUAUCAAUAAAAAAUAUAUUUGCGAUAAAACCAUUUUAGGUUUAAAGGAUAUAAUAAAAAUAGCAA
rnacentral:lncRNA from 1 species